rnacentral:rRNA from 1 species
CGAAUGCUGACAUAAGUAACGAUAAAGCGGGUGAAAAGCCCGCUCGCCGGAAGACCAAGGGUUCCUGUCCAACGUUAAUCGGGGCAGGGUGAGUCGACCCCUAAGGCGAGGCCGAAAGGCGUAGUCGAUGGGAAACAGGUUAAUAUUCCUGUACUUGGUGUUACUGCGAAGGGGGGACGGAGAAGGCUAUGUUGGCCGGGCGACGGUUGUCCCGGUUUAAGCGUGUAGGCUGGUUUUCCAGGCAAAUCCGGAAAAUCAAGGCUGAGGCGUGAUGACGAGGCACUACGGUGCUGAAGCAACAAAUGCCCUGCUUCCAGGAAAAGCCUCUAAGCAUCAGGUAACAUCAAAUCGUACCCCAAACCGACACAGGUGGUCAGGUAGAGAAUACCAAGGCGCUUGAGAGAACUCGGGUGAAGGAACUAGGCAAAAUGGUGCCGUAACUUCGGGAGAAGGCACGCUGAUAUGUAGGUGAAGUCCCUCGCGGAUGGAGCUGAAAUCAGUCGAAGAUACCAGCUGGCUGCAACUGUUUAUUAAAAACACAGCACUGUGCAAACACGAAAGUGGACGUAUACGGUGUGACGCCUGCCCGGUGCCGGAAGGUUAAUUGAUGGGGUUAGCGCAAGCGAAGCUCUUGAUCGAAGCCCCGGUAAACGGCGGCCGUAACUAUAACGGUCCUAAGGUAGCGAAAUUCCUUGUCGGGUAAGUUCCGACCUGCACGAAUGGCGUAAUGAUGGCCAGGCUGUCUCCACCCGAGACUCAGUGAAAUUGAACUCGCUGUGAAGAUGCAGUGUACCCGCGGCAAGACGGAAAGACCCCGUGAACCUUUACUAUAGCUUGACACUGAACAUUGAGCCUUGAUGUGUAGGAUAGGUGGGAGGCUUGGAAGUGUGGACGCCAGUCUGCAUGGAGCCGACCUUGAAAUACCACCCUUUAAUGUUUGAUGUUCUAACGUUGACCCGUAAUCCGGGUUGCGGACAGUGUCUGGUGGGUAGUUUGACUGGGGCGGUCUCCUCCUAAAGAGUAACGGAGGAGCACGAAGGUUGGCUAAUCCUGGUCGGACAUCAGGAGGUUAGUGCAAUGGCAUAAGCCAGCUUGACUGCGAGCGUGACGGCGCGAGCAGGUGCGAAAGCAGGUCAUAGUGAUCCGGUGGUUCUGAAUGGAAGGGCCAUCGCUCAACGGAUAAAAGGUACUCCGGGGAUAACAGGCUGAUACCGCCCAAGAGUUCAUAUCGACGGCGGUGUUUGGCACCUCGAUGUCGGCUCAUCACAUCCUGGGGCUGAAGUAGGUCCCAAGGGUAUGGCUGUUCGCCAUUUAAAGUGGUACGCGAGCUGGGUUUAGAACGUCGUGAGACAGUUCGGUCCCUAUCUGCCGUGGGCGCUGGAGAACUGAGGGGGGCUGCUCCUAGUACGAGAGGACCGGAGUGGACGCAUCACUGGUGUUCGGGUUGUCAUGCCAAUGGCACUGCCCGGUAGCUAAAUGCGGAAGAGAUAAGUGCUGAAAGCAUCUAAGCACGAAACUUGCC